AUUGAACGCUGGCGGCAGGCCUAACACAUGCAAGUCGAACGAGUGGCGGACGGGUGAGUAAUGUAUGGGAAAAUGCCUGAUGGAGGGGGAUAACUACUGGAAAAGGUAGCUAAUGCCGCAUAACAUCAGUUGUGCCCAGAUGGGAGUAGCUUGUUGGUGGGGUAACGGCUCACCAAGGCGGAGAUACCUAGCUGGUCUGAGAGGAUGACCGGCCACACUGGAACUGAGACCCGGGCCAGACUCCUACGGUGGGCAGCAGGGGGGAAUAUUGCACAAUGGGCGCAAGUCUGAUGCAGCAAUGCCGCGUGUAUGAAGAAGGCCUUCGGGUUGUAAAGUACUUUCAGCGGGGAGGCGUUACCCGCAGAAGAAGCACCGGCUAACUCCGUGCCAGCAGCCGCGGUAAUAC
rnacentral:rRNA from 1 species